rnacentral:rRNA from 1 species
AUUGAACGCUGGCGGCAGGCCUAACACAUGCAAGUCGAGCGGAUGAAGAGAGCUUGCUCUCUGAUUCAGCGGCGGACGGGUGAGUAAUGCCUAGGAAUCUGCCUGGUAGCGGGGGACAACGUUUCGAAAGGAACGCUAAUACCGCAUACGUCCUACGGGAGAAAGUGGGGGAUCUUCGGACCUCACGCUAUCAGAUGAGCCUAGGUACGAUUAGCUAGUUGGUGAGGUAAAGGCUCACCAAGGCGACGAUCGUUAACUGGUCUGAGAGGAUGAUCAGUCACACUGGAACUGAGACACGGUCCAGACUCCUACGGGAGGCAGCAGUGGGGAAUAUUGGACAAUGGGCGAAAGCCUGAUCCAGCCAUGCCGCGUGUGUGAAGAAGGUCUUCGGAUUGUAAAGCACUUUAAGUUGGGAGGAAGGGCAGUAAGUUAAUACCUUGCUGUUUUGACGUUACCGACAGAAUAAGCACCGGCUAACUUCGUGCCAGCAGCCGCCGCGG